AACGAACGCUGGCGGCAUGCCUAACACAUGCAAGUCGAACGAGACCUUCGGGUCUAGUGGCGCACGGGUGCGUAACGCGUGGGAACCUGCCCUUAGGUUCGGAAUAACUCCCCGAAAGGGGUGCUAAUACCGGAUAAUGUCUUCGGACCAAAGAUUUAUCGCCUUUGGAUGGGCCCGCGUUGGAUUAGCUAGUUGGUAGGGUAAAAGCCUACCAAGGCGACGAUCCAUAGCUGGUCUGAGAGGAUGAUCAGCCACACUGGGACUGAGACACGGCCCAGACUCCUACGGGAAGCAGCAGUGGGGAAUAUUGGACAAUGGGCGAAAGGCUGAUCCAGCAAUGCCGCGUGAGUGAUGAAGGCCUUAGGGUUGUAAAGCUCUUUUAACCGGGAUGAUAAUGACAGUACCGGGAGAAUAAGCUCCGGCUAACUCCGUG
rnacentral:rRNA from 1 species